rnacentral:piRNA from 1 species
UGUUAGAGCAUUGUGAAUGGACUAAGA